UGCCUUUCAAGUGUUGCCCGCUCUUUGUUUUCCACAAGGAGCGCGGUGUCAACAAAGGCAAACAUUAGAUUGCUUGGAUCAGCCUUAGCAAGGUUGCCCCUCAUGGUACCUUGUCUUAAGUUUUAUGCCAAGUACAAAC